GACGAACCGAGCGAACGUUGUUCGGAAUCACUGGGCUUAAAGGGCGCGUAGGCGGGUGACUAAGUCUGUGGUGAAAUCCGGCAGCUCAACUGUCGAAUUGCCAUGGAUACUGGUCAUCUCGAGGGAGGCAGGGGUGCGCGGAACUGAUGGUGGAGCGGUGAAAUGCGUUGAUAUCAUCAGGAACUCCGGUGGCGAAGGCGGCG
rnacentral:rRNA from 1 species